rnacentral:rRNA from 1 species
CAGCAGUAGGGAAUUUUCCGCAAUGGGCGAAAGCCUGACGGAGCGACGCCGCGUGAGCGAAGAAAGCCUUCGGGUCGUAAAGCUCUGUCCUCUGGGACGAAAAAUGACGGUACCAGAGGAGGAAGCCCCGGCUAACUACGUG